AGCGGCGAACGGGUGAGAAACGCUUCGGAAUCUGCCCAAUGGUGGGGAAUAACCAGCCGAAAGGUUGGCUAAUACCGCAUGAGCCCUACGGGGGAAAGCGGGGGAUCGUAAGACCUCGCGCCGAUGGAUGAGCCGAAGCCGGAUUAGCUAGUUGGUAGGGUAACGGCCUACCAAGGCGACGAUCCGUAGCUGGUCUGAGAGGACGACCAGCCACACUGGGACUGAGACACGGCCCAGACUCCUACGCGAGGCAGCAGUGGGGAAUAUUGGACAAUGGGGGAAACCCUGAUCCAGCGACGCCGCGUGUGUGAAGAAGGCCUGCGGGUUGUAAAGCACUUUUAGUGGGGAUGAAAAGCUCAGAGCUAACACCUCUGGGUCUUGACCUAACCCACAGAAAAAGCACCGGCUAACUCUGUGCCAGCAGCCGCGGUAAUACAGAGGGUGCGAGCGUUAAUCGGAAUUACUGGGCGUAAAGCGUACGUAGACGGUUGGAUAAGUCAGAUGUGAAAGCCCCGGGCUCAACCUGGGAAUGGCAUUUGA
rnacentral:rRNA from 1 species